UUCACUUCCGAGUGAAUUUCAACCCCUGCCAAUUUGAAUUCAAAGCGAGUUUGAUUGAAAUUCACUCGAAAGUGAAUUGCGGAACCUGCCUGAAUAUUAUUAUUUUUAGUUUUUGAAAAUUUCUUA